rnacentral:rRNA from 1 species
GACGUAGGAGGCGAGCGUUGUCCGGAUUCAUUGGGCGUAAAGAGCGCGCAGGCGGCUUGGUAAGUCGGAUGUGAAAACCCGAGGCUCAACCUCGGGCGUGCAUCCGAAACUGCUCGGCUAGAGGUAGGUAGGGGAGAUCGGAAUUCCUGGUGUAGCGGUGAAAUGCGCAGAUAUCAGGAGGAACACCGGUGGCGAAGGCGGAUCUCUGGGCCU